rnacentral:lncRNA from 1 species
CAAGAGCUUUGCUUUGAACGAGGACUGGGAGUUUGUAUAAAUUACCAUAGUUUGUAAUUUUGUCACUACUGUUUACUUCAUUUGUGUCCUGAAAUUUCUAUGGAAUUUAGAGUGAAAUUUUAACUAUGACAAAGAAAAAACAGAAAGCAAAGAAAGACAGGAAAGAAAUUGUAACAAAAACCCCGGGAUAAUCUUUCUUCAAAUAGUCUUCUGAAAAGAAAACCAUAAAAUCUUUAUUGUGAGAUGUUCGGCUUUUGGAUUACACAUCAGGAAUGUUUUUCCUGGGCUGCAUCUCUCAUGUUCAACCUUCCUCUGGUCACAAUGAAUAUUCAAUUUCCUUCUCUCAGAUUCUGACAGUUACCAAUUUUGAUAUGUCUUUCCUAUUUUUUAUUGCUCUAAAUUUAAAGUAAGCUAGAUGUUUUUCGCUUUCACCUUUUGAAGUUUCAAAAACUUUUCUUGUGUAUGUAUCAAAAAUUACUGUGAGAGGAAUGAAUCUAAACUAAUACUGCUAUGUACAUAUAUGAAUAUACCACAGUGAACCUCACUAUAAUGUAUAUCCACAAGAUACGAGCCAAUAAAAAAAAACUCUAAUAGUAAAUAGCAGAAAUAUCAGUAAAGAAGAGGACAGAGAACAUGAAGAAGGAGGAGGAAAGGGGAAAUACUGAAUAAAUGCUGUGGACUGAAAUUGAGCUAAAAAUUUGAGCUAAAAUUCAUGCUUUUUAAAUUGUGUCAAAAUAGGAAAAGAAAAAUCACUGUGGAACUGCCACAAAUUCUGUAUGUUUAAACAAAAAAAAUCAUAUUUUACAUAUCUGAAUUUUACUAGGUAUUUUCACCUUUCUCUUAAUCCCAAAUAUCUUCAACCUUUAUUCUUCCCUUUAAAUAUGGAUCCUGAGCCAGGCACAGUGGCAUAUGCCUCUAAUUCCAGCAACUCAGGAGGCUGAAGCAGAAAGAUAACAAGUUCACAGCCAACCUGGGCAACUUAGCAAGACCUAGUCUCAAAAUUUAAAAAAAAAGAAAGAAAAAGAAAAAAAAAAAAAAAUAUAUAUAUAUAUAUAUAAAUGACUGGGGUUGUAACUCAGUGGUAAAGUGCCCUUGAGUUCAAUACCCAGUACCAAACUAAAGAAAGAAAAAAUAAUGAGUCCUGGAAAUAUAAGUGAAAAUUGACAAGAGAUCUAAAAGAUUAGCAGAUAAAGUCAAAUUUUUCUGUUCUAGCAUCUAUUCAAAAUUGACUUCCUGUCAUGCUGUUUGUAACCUUUUCUUUUCACAAGUAUUGUAUAGGUAAUAAGAUAGUAUUAUAAAAAUAUGUAGGAAAAUUCUACACAUGUGUCCCAUCCCCUCACCACUCCCCUGAACUGUUGACAAGAAAAAAAUAUAUAUAUUUCCAAAAGUAGGGAAUAAUUUGCUUGGUAAAUUUUAACAUUUGUGUGAAUUGAUCAUGUUUGUGAAAAAUAUUGAAGACUUAUGACUUCUUUAUUCCCUUUAUCUUCACUUGGCUGAACUAAUAAAUUUUGAAUAUAGAUUCAGUAUGGUCAUAGUCUCAAUCAUACCACGUUUAGAAGCAAUGUUCUAGAGUAUGUUUCUCUGCUAGCAUGACUCCACAAAGAAAACGAAACCAAUCCUAACAAAACUCUCCUUGUAACAGAGUAAAAUGAAGCUUGCAACAACUGUUUUGAGAAAUGGUUUGCACAGUGACUAACCACCAAUUUUUCAAACACUGUUGAAGGCAUUUUAAGCUGUAGAAUGGACAGGGCAUGAGAAAAAUCAAUAAAGGGAAAAGAGCUCUGUCACAGAUGAAACCAAAAAAAUACUGUUAAGACCAGCUCCCCUUCUCCAUGCAUCUAUUAUCACAUUCCACUAAAAGGUGUUGAAAAAAUCAGCCAGGUUCCACUAGAGCGAUAGUGUCCAGACAGGCAUGCCUGUAAAUAAUUAAAAGAAUAAACUAGAGUAGAAAAAACAAAAUGGAGGGAAAAAUAAUUAAACUCUGAAAAUUUUGAGUGUACUAAAACUUAAAAAUCUAGAAGAGGGAAAGAACCUAUUCUUCAAAAGAAGAUGCUUUCCAUCCUUCACUAGCAGCAGAGGAUUGAUGGUGUGAUAAUAGCAGCCCUUUGGGUAGGGCUGCUGGGAAGAACACUGUCUUCACUAAGGCUUUACUAGGUGUUCAAUAGCCCAGGGCAAUAUGAGCAACGUCCUUGUUUCUAGAAUUGAGUAAACCAAAUCAGGAUGAACGACACAUGGUUUAAUAGUUAACUUUUAGAACAAGGGGCAGGGAGAUGCUUUUAUACCAUAGUCCCAGUUUUCAUUCCAAUCUCAUUACUGAAGUCUGUUCUGAGAGCAUUUACAGCUUUCCGGAGAGUCUGACUUAGGAGGAAUCCUGAAAAUGGAAAUAUAGCUUAAUGGCCUUUCUGUCCUGGAGUCUCCAAUACAGGUGAAUCUGUGAUAAAUCAUGCUCUAGAACCCAAAGCAUUGUUAUUAAUGUAGUUGUUAUUAUUAUUAUAUUAUUAGUCUUUUCAUCUGUUAGUCAUUCUCUAUUCAUUUUCCUAUGCUAGAAAUACGUGAAAGUUUUG